GCGAGAUAGUGUGGAGGAGGCGGAUUUGAAGUCGGAGAUAACAGAGGUGGAGGUCACAGAGAUGGAAGUUGCAGAGAUGACCCUGAUUUUAGGUUUGUUGGCAACGAGGUCUCCUCUUCACCCGUGAAAGGGUUUUUUUUAAUUAUAUCCCUAAUAAUACCUUAAUGGCAAACUUGUGAUUACUGAAAACUAGGUUGGGUUUUAUGCACUUUUGCUUGGUAUAUGUGUUAUGCUAGUAAUUACAAUAUUUUAAGAGUUAGUUGAGUAAUAUUAGGUAUGAUUGGAGUCAUUAUAAGUAAUUUCUCUUUCGAAAAUGUAGAAAGUUGUAUAACUGAAGUUGCGAUCAGAGCGAGUGUUUGGCUAGCUGGUAAUGGAUUAGUGGUUUGGAGCUAGGUCACGAUGUAAUCAACGUGUUUGCGUAGUUAAGCAUUAUGCAACAAUUGCUCUUAUGUUUCUCAAUAAGAAGAGAGAUAGAA
rnacentral:lncRNA from 1 species